AUUGAACGCUGGCGGCAGGCUUAACACAUGCAAGUCGAACGAGUGGCGGACGGGUGAGUAAUGUUUGGGAAUCUGGCUGAUGGAGGGGGAUAACUACGGGAAACGGUAGCUAAUACCGCAUACCAUAGGAUGAGCCCACGUGGGAUUAGCUUGUUGGUGGGGUAAAGGCUCACCAAGGCGACGAUCCCUAGCUGGUCUGAGAGGAUGACCAGUCACACUGGGACUGAGACACGGCCCAGACUCCUACGGGAGGCAGCAGUGGGGAAUAUUGCACAAUGGGGGCAAGCCUGACGCAGCCAUGCCGCGUGUAUGAAGAAGGCCUUCGGGUUGUAAAGUACUUUCGGUAGCGAGGCGUUACCUACAGAAGAAGCACCGGCUAACUCCGUGCCAGCAGCCGCGGUAAUUC
rnacentral:rRNA from 1 species